AGUCAUUCUGCCCAUUGAAUUUAAAAGGCUGCGGUAUUUUAACUGUACAAAGGUAGCAAAAUAAAUAGUUUUUUAAUUGAAAACUUGAAUGAAAGAGUUAAUAAAAUAUAAAUUGUCUCAAAAAAUGAAUUUAAAUUAAAAGUAAAAAUACUUUUAUAAUUUUAUUAGACGAUAAGACCCUAAGAAUUUGAUUAUUUAAAUUAUUUUAAUAAAUAAAUAAAAAUUAAAUUAUUUUAUUGGGAGGAUAAAUAAAUUAAACUUUAAUUUUAUUAAAUAUUUUUAGAUAAAUUUAAUGAUUAUUAUUAAGAUUAUAAGAAUAAAUUACCUUAGGGAUAACAGCGUAAUAAUUUUGGAGAGUUCAUAUUGAUAGAAUUGUUUACGACCUCGAUGUUGAAUUAAAAUAAAAAUUAAAUGGAGAUAUUUAAAAUUUUAGUCUGUUCGACUAUUAAAAUUUUAC
rnacentral:rRNA from 1 species